GACGUAGGGCGCGAGCGUGUCCAGAUUUAUUGGGCGUAAAGAGCUCGUAGGCGGCUUGUUGCGUCGACUGUGAAAACCCGCGGCUCAACCGUGUGGUCUGCAGUCGAUACGGGCAGGCUGGGAGUUGGUAGGGGAGGACUGGAAUUCCUGGUUGUAGCGGGUGGAAAAUGCUGGCCAGAUAUCAGGGAGGGAACACCGGGUGG
rnacentral:rRNA from 1 species